GAUGAACGCUGGCGGCGUGCCUAAUACAUGCAAGUCGAGCGAACAGAUGAGGAGCUUGCUCCUCUGACGUUAGCGGCGGACGGGUGAGUCACAUGUGGAUAACCUACCUAUAUGUGUGGGAUAACUUGGGGAAACCGGAGCUAAUACCGGAUAAUAUAUUGAACCGCAUGGUUCAAUAGUGAAAGACGGUUUUGCUGUGACUUAUAGAUGGAUCCUCGCCGCAUUAGAUGGUUGGUAAGGUAACGGGUUUCCAAGGCAACGAUGCGUGUCCGACCGGUUGGAGUGGUCGCCGACACUGGAACUGAGCCAGGGUCCAUGCUCCUACGGGAGGCCCCAGUAUGCAAUCUUCCGCAAAGGUCGAAAGCCUUACGGAGCAGCGCCGCGUGAGUUAUAAAGGUCUCCGGAGCGUAAUACUCUGUUAUUAGGGAAGAACAAAUUUGUACUUAACUGUGCACGUCUUGACGGUACCGAGUCAGAAAGCCACGGCUAACUACGUG
rnacentral:rRNA from 1 species